rnacentral:rRNA from 1 species
UACGUAGGGUGCGAGCGUUGUCCGGAAUUAUUUGGGCGUAAAGGGCUCGUAGGCGGUUUGUCGCGUCGGGAGUGAAAUCCACUGGCUUUAACUGGUGGCUUUGCUUUUCGAUACGGGCAGACUGGAGGUAUGCAGGGGAGAACGGAAUUCCUGGUGUAGCGGUGAAAUGCGCAGAUAUCAGGAGGAACACCGGUGGCGAAGGCGGUUCUCUGGGCAUGUCCUGACGCUGAGGAGCGAAAGUGUGGGGAGCGAACAGG